rnacentral:rRNA from 1 species
AAUCAACGCUGGCGGCGUGCCUAACACAUGCAAGUCGAACGAGAAAGGGUAGCAAUACCUGAGUAAAGUGGCGCACGGGUGAGUAACACGUGACUAACCUACCCUGGAGUGGGGGAUAACCGAGGGAAACCUCAGCUAAUACCGCAUAACACCUACGGGUCAAAGGAGCAAUUCGCUUCAGGAGGGGGUCGCGGCCGAUUAGUUAGUUGGCGGGGUAAUGGCCCACCAAGACUGUGAUCGGUAUCCGGCCUGAGAGGGCGCACGGACACA